ACUGCUUCCAGGAGACCAGAUCAUCCGGAUCGGUGAACACAGCAGAAUCAGGAAGGAAAACGAACACCAUCCAGGCGUCCACAAUGUUAGGAGUCAUUCCUUGCACCAUUCUGCAAUUACAGCGCUCCAUCCAAAUUCUCGCUGCCAAAGCACCAAAUUUCCCCACUUCAAACAGUUUCCUAGACUAAAUUCACCGAUGCAUGAAAGGGUAGCAGGUCAGAUGUUAAACCGUCACAUGAACAAGUUUCUGCAACAGGGGUUGGCCUGUUUGCCCAUCACGAUCCAUUUUCCUCCGGGCCCUGCCAACAGGUGACAAACUUAGCCGCCUCCGAUACUACUAAUCUUUUUGUUAUGCACAAUAACUCUCAUCUAGCCUGUAUAAAUACACAAGAACAAUGGCUUGUACAGUUCCGCAAUUUGCGCAGAGAAUACAAACUGCCGCAUCCCAGAUCAGUCACAGCCUCGGCCCUCAGGUCACUGAAAGUAAUUCAUCAUUGAGCCUGGGGAUCUACACCAAUAGCACCGAACCUUGCACCAGCACCAAUCCCAGCAUUGGGUGGCUGUGCCACCACAACAUUGUCAUCAGCAAAUAGCGCCUUAAUGAAGGACGGUGUCUUUAGGGGGCGACGCCCAGUCAUACGUGGGUAUACAUCUUCCAGGAAGUAGUACACAUGUCCAGCAAUCAUACCCUGAAACAAUGUGACAUCAGUUAAGAUAAGAGAUAUAUCACUCAUUCCUCCAAGAGAACGAUCAAGGUGACAAUAAGAAUGCUAUACGGGCAAACUACAAGCUAUGUCAAUUCAAUCACGCAUAUGGCAUAUGUGAGUCAACUGAACUUUCUAAUCUAGUAUUCUAGUGAGAGUGACAAGUA
rnacentral:misc_RNA from 1 species